AACGAACGCUGGCGGCAGGCUUAACACAUGCGAGUCGAGCGCCCCGCAAGGGUAGCGGCAGACGGGUGAGUAACGCGUGGGAACGUACCUUUUGGUUCGGAACAACUCCGGGAACCUGGAGCUAAUACCGGAUAAGCCCUAACGGGGAAAGUUUUAUCGCCGAAAGCUCGGCCCGCGUCUGAUUAGCUAGUUGGUGAGGUAACGGCUCACCAAGGCGACGAUCAGUAGCUGGUCUGAGAGGAUGAUCAGCCACACUGGGACUGAGACACGGCCCAGACUCCUACGGGAGGCAGCAGUGGGGAAUAUUGGACAAUGGGCGCAAGCCUGAUCCAGCCAUGCCGCGUGAGUGAUGAAGGCCUUAGGGUUGUAAAGCUCUUUUGUCCGGGAAGAUAAUGACUGUACCGGAAGAAUAAGCCCCGGCUAACUUCGUG
rnacentral:rRNA from 1 species